rnacentral:rRNA from 1 species
GUGCCAGCCGCCGCGGUAAUACGUAGGUGGCAAGCGUUGUCCGGAUUUAUUGGGCGUAAAGCGCGCGCAGGCGGCUAUGUAAGUCUGGUGUUAAAGCCCGGGGCUCAACCCCGGUUCGCAUCGGAAACUGUGUAGCUUGAGUGCAGAAGAGGAAAGCGGUAUUCCA